rnacentral:rRNA from 1 species
UACGUAGGGGGCUAGCGUUGUCCGGAUUUAUUGGCGUAAAGAGCGUGUAGGCGGCCAGGUAGGUCUGCUGUGAAAACUCGAGGCUCAACCUCGAGACGUCGGCGGAAACCAUCUGGCUAGAGUCCGGAAGAGGAGAGUGGAAUUCCUGGUGUAGCGGUGAAAUGCGCAGAUAUCAGGAGGAACACCGGUGGCGAAGGCGGAUCUCUGGGCCUUACCUGACGCUCAGGUGCGAAAGCUAGGGGGAGCGAACAGG